UGGGGAAUAUUGCACAAUGGGCGCAAGCCUGAUGCAGCCAUGCCGCGUGUAUGAAGAAGGCCUUCGGGUUGUAAAGUACUUUCAGCGGGGAGGAAGGUGUUGAGGUUAAUAACCUCAGCAAUUGACGUUACCCGCAGAAGAAGCACCGGCUAACUCCGUGCCAGCAGCCGCGGUAAUACGGAGGGUGCAAGCGUUAAUCGGAAUUACUGGGCGUAAAGCGCACGAAGGCGGUCUGUCAAGUCGGAUGUGAAAUCCCCGGGCUCAACCUGGGAACUGCAUUCGAAACUGGCAGGCUAGAGUCUUGUAGAGGGGGGUAGAAUUCCAGGUGUAGCGGUGAAAUGCGUAGAGAUCUGGAGGAAUACCGGUGGCGAAGGCGGCCCCCUGGACAAAGACUGACGCUCAGGUGCGAAAGCGUGGGGAGCAAACA
rnacentral:rRNA from 1 species